CAUAUCCCAACACAAACAUUUGCCUCUAACAUAUAUUCUAACCAAAUCAUCAUACCCUUUUAACUCAUAUAUUCAAAAUACCAUUUUACAUAUAUAUGUAUGUUACAUGUGUAUACAUCAAAACUCCACUGCGGCUCAUACCAAAUGCCUGACCAAAUGCUGCAACGCUUUGCCCAGGCAAUAAAACCCAAAAAAGGCCAAACAAAUCAGCCCAGCUUAUUCAUGUGUGUGUGAGGGUGCAUUAGAGUGUGACCUUGUGUAUGUGUGUGUGCACGCCUGAAGUGUAAGUUGCCAGCGAGCCGGCAGAAAGCAGAGCCACAACGUUGUCGGCCGGAAGCGGAAACUCGCGCGCACACACACACACACACACACACAAGAGGAGCGUACACAAAAACACACACACACACUGACGCCCACGGCAGCAAAAAAUAAAACCCUGCAAAGACUCGUGAAUUUUUCAAGCAGACUCAAGUUUCGCAAACAACAGAGGGAGAAAAAAUACAAAAAGUUAAAGCUGGUGUCAGGCUUAAUUGCAAACAAUUUCAAUGGCCUAAGUGUCUGCCACGUCCUAAGCAACUAUUGGCUAAAAUUGUCUUGACUUUCAUUUCUUAUACUGCAUGAGAAAAACUUUGUAUGAGCUAUUCAAUUACGCUUAGCAAAGCAAUGAGUGCAAUUAAGUGAAAUUAUGUAUGGUGCGAGUUAAGUGCAAAUGACUUGGAGAUAUUCCCAAGCAGACGGUGAGAAAAUUUAGUGCGCAUGAAAAUGCGGAAGAGGAGGUGCUUGAAGUGUAGAUAAAAAGAGGUGUUAAUUGGAGCAACUAGCUAGAGGAGAGAAAAAAAAAGGAGAGCGCUGGAGAAGGAGCAACUAGUUGCACUGUGAAGCUCAGCUCCAUUAAAAUGUAAGAAGACUUUGUUUUCUUUGGUAAACUUAAUUUAAACAGUAUAUAUG